rnacentral:rRNA from 1 species
UAGGGAAUAUUGCACAAUGGGCGGAAGCCUGAUGCAGCAACGCCGCGUGCACGAUGAAGGCCUUCGGGUCGUAAAGUGCUUUUCGGGGAGAUGAGAAAGGACAGUAUCCCCGGAAUAAGGAUCGGCUAACUACGUGCCAGCAGCCGCGGUAAAACGUUGGAUCCGAGCGUUAUCCGAAUUUACUGGGCGUAAAGCGCGUGUAGGCGGUUCGGUAAGUUGGAUGUGAAAUCUCCUGGCUCGACUGGGAGAGGUCGUUCAAUACUGUCGGACUAGAGGGUGGUAGAGGGAGGUGGAAUUCCCGGUGUAGUGGUGAAAUGCGUAGAUAUCGGGAGGAACACCAGUGGCGAAAGCGGCCUCCUAGACCGCUCCUGACGCUCAGACGCGAAAGCUAGGGGAGCAAACGGGAUUAGAAACCCCGGUAGUCCUAGCUGUAAACGAUGUGAACUUGGCGUUGGUGGGUAAAGCCAUCAGUGCCGAAGCUAACGCGAUAAGUUCACCGCCUGGGGACUACGGCCGACG